CCGGCGAUGUCCGAAUGGGGAAACCCAGUGCAAUUCGUUGCACUAUCGUUAACUGAAUACAUAGGUUAACGAGGCGAACCGGGGGAACUGAAACAUCUAAGUACCCCGAGGAAAAGAAAUCAACCGAGAUUCCCCCAGUAGCGGCGAGCGAACGGGGAGCAGCCCAGAGUCUGAAUCAGCUUGUGUGUUAGUGGAACGGUCUGGAAAGUCCGACGGUACAGGGUGAUAGUCCCGUACACCAAAAUGCACAGGUUGUGAACUCGAAGAGUAGGGCGGGACACGUGGUAUCCUGUCUGAAUAUGGGGGGACCAUCCUCCAAGGCUAAAUACUCCUGACUGACCGAUAGUGAACCAGUACCGUGAGGGAAAGGCGAAAAGAACCCCGGCGAGGGGAGUGAAAAAGAACCUGAAACCGUGUACGUACAAGCAGUGGGAGCACCUUCGGGUGUGACUGCGUACCUUUUGUAUAAUGGGUCAGCGACUUAUAUUCUGUAGCAAGGUUAACCGUAUAGGGGAGCCGCAGGGAAACCGAGUCUUAACUGGGCGUUAAGUUGCAGGGUAUAGACCCGAAACCCGGUGAUCUAGCCAUGGGCAGGUUGAAGGUUGGGUAACACUAACUGGAGGACCGAACCGACUAAUGUUGAAAAAUUAGCGGAUGACUUGUGGCUGGGGGUGAAAGGCCAAUCAAACCGGGAGAUAGCUGGUUCUCCCCGAAAGCUAUUUAGGUAGCGCCUCGUGAACUCAUCUUCGGGGGUAGAGCACUGUUUCGGCUAGGGGGUCAUCCCGACUUACCAACCCGAUGCAAACUACGAAUACCGAAGAAUGUUAUCACGGGAGACACACGGCGGGUGCUAACGUCCGUCGUGAAGAGGGAAACAACCCAGACCGCCAGCUAAGGUCCCAAAGUCAUGGUUAAGUGGGAAACGAUGUGGGAAGGCACAGACAGCCAGGAUGUUGGCUUAGAAGCAGCCAUCAUUUAAAGAAAGCGUAAUAGCUCACUGGUCGAGUCGGCCUGCGCGGAAGAUGUAACGGGGCUAAACCAUGCACCGAAGCUGCGGCAGCGACACUAUGUGUUGUUGGGUAGGGGAGCGUUCUGUAAGCCUGCGAAGGUG
rnacentral:rRNA from 1 species